GACGAACGCUGGCGGCGUGCUUAACACAUGCAAGUCGAACGGUGACGGAGAGCUUGCUCUCCUGAUCAGUGGCGAACGGGUGAGUAACACGUGGGCAACCUGCCCAGACUUCGGGAUAACGCUUCGAAAGAGGUGCUAAUACCGGAUACGAGCUCCUUGGGCAUCCUUGGAGUUGGAAAGUUUUUCGGUCUGGGAUGGGCCCGCGGCCUAUCAGCUAGUUGGUGAGGUAACGGCUCACCAAGGCGACGACGGGUAGCCGGCCUGAGAGGGCGACCGGCCACACUGGGACUGAGACACGGCCCAGACUCCUACGGGAGGCAGCAGUGGGGAAUAUUGCGCAAUGGGCGAAAGCCUGACGCAGCAACGCCGCGUGAGGGAUGACGGCCU
rnacentral:rRNA from 1 species